GAUGAAGAACGUAGCAAAAUGCGAUAAGUAAUGUGAAUUGCAGAAUUCAGUGAAUCAUCGAAUCUUUGAACGCACAUUGCGCCCGCCAGUAUUCUGGCGGGCAUGCCUGUUCGAGCGUCAUUUCAACCCUCAAGCUCAGCUUGGUGUUGGGACUCGCGUUAAUUCGCGUUCCCCAAAUUGAUUGGCGGUCACGUCGAGCUUCCAUAGCGUAGUAGUAAAACCCUCGUUACUGGUAAUCGUCGCGGCCACGCCGUUAAACCCCAACUUCUGAAUGUUGACCUCGGAUCAGGUAGGAAUACCCGCUGAACUUAAGCAUAUCAAUAAGCGGAGGA
rnacentral:misc_RNA from 1 species